CAUUGCUGGAACGCGCCCCAGGCGCACCCAGAAACCCUUUGUGAACUUAUACCUUACUGUUGCCUCGGCGCAUGCCGGCCCCCCUGGGGGCCCCUCCUUCUGGAGGAGCAGGCACGCCGGCGGCCAACCUAACUCUUGUUUUUACACUGAAACUCUGAGAAUAAAACAUAAAUGAAUCAAAACUUUCAACAACGGAUCUCUUGGUUCUGGCAUCGAUGAAGAACGCAGCGAAAUGCGAUAAGUAAUGUGAAUUGCAGAAUUCAGUGAAUCAUCGAAUCUUUGAACGCACAUUGCGCCCUCUGGUAUUCCGGAGGGCAUGCCUGUUCGAGCGUCAUUUCAACCCUCAAGCCUGGCUUGGUGAUGGGGCACUGCUUUUACCCAAAAGCAGGCCCUGAAAUUCAGUGGCGAGCUCGCCAGGACCCCGAGCGCAGUAGUUAAACCCUCGCUUUGGAAGGCCCUGGCGGUGCCCUGCCGUUAAACCCCCAACUUCUGAAAAUUUGAC
rnacentral:rRNA from 1 species